AAGAAUCAAGUCUCGGGAUGUGACCCAGGUCUGAAUGUUUUCCACACAAAAAACAUGGAUUGCUGUGGGGGCACAAAGAAGUUGUCGGCAGGGAAAGGAAGGCAAAAAGAAUCCUGUUAAUUCAUCCACCAAUGACAC
rnacentral:lncRNA from 1 species